GACGAACGCUGGCGGCGUGCUUAACACAUGCAAGUCGAACGGUAAGGCCCUUCGGGGUACACGAGUGGCGAACGGGUGAGUAACACGUGGGUGAUCUGCCCUGCACUUCGGGAUAAGCCUGGGAAACUGGGUCUAAUACCGGAUAGGACCCUGGGAUGCAUGUCCUGGGGUGGAAAGCUUUUGCGGUGUGGGAUGGGCCCGCGGCCUAUCAGCUUGCUGGGGGGGUGAUGGCCUACCAAGGCGACGACGGGUAGCCGGCCUGAGAGGGUGACCGGCCACACUGGGACUGAGAUACGGCCCAGACUCCUACGGGAGGCAGCAGUGGGGAAUAUUGCUCAAUGGGCGCAAGCCUGAUGCAGCGACGCCGCGUGAGGGAUGACGGCCUUCGGGUUGUAAACCUCUUUCAGCACCGACGAAGCGCAAGUGACGGUAGGUGCAGAAGAAGGACCGGCCAACUACGUGCCAGCAGCCGCAGUAA
rnacentral:rRNA from 1 species